rnacentral:rRNA from 1 species
CAGUAGCCGCGGUAAAACGAGGGGUGCAAGCGUUAUCCAGAAUGAUUGGGCGUAAAGCGUCUGUAGGUGGCUUUUCAAGUCAGUCGUCAAAUCCCUGGGCUCAACCCUGGACAAGCAGUGGAAACUACCAAGCUGGAGUAUAGUAGGGGCAGAGUGAAUUUCCGGUGGAGCGAUGAAAUGCGUUGAGAUCAGAAAGAACACCAACGGCGAAAGCACUCUGCUGGGCCGACACUGACACUGAGAGACGAAAGCUAGGGGAGCAAAUGGGAUUAGAUACCCCGGUAGUCCCUGUCUCUUAUAC